UCAUCCCCUUGACGGUGACACACUAGGCCCAGAAGUCUGUCGUGCUAAAAGUGGGUAGGAGUCUGCAGAGCAAGAAUUGCUGUUUACCAUCUCAGGUAUAGUCCUGGGCUCACCCCAGGAAUGAGUUUUCAUCUUGGGGAGAGGCAGGCAGAAAACAAAAGCUAGCCAGCAUCAAAGGCAGAAAGUGAAGUUUAUCUCAUGGUGGAGGACUAAACAAGCUUCCCCAUGUUUCUUUCUCUGUUUACAUGUGAAUGCAUGUGUGUACAUGCUACAGUGCUCAUGCAAAGGUCAAAGGAUUGUCUGUAGGAGUUGGUUCUCUUCCCUUCAUGUAGGUCCUUGGGAAUUGAGCUCAGCUCUCUAGGCUUGGUUGUAGGGGCCUCUGCUCACCAAGUCAUCUUGCUGGCCCUUCUCUGUUUUUCUUUUCAAGGAGAAUUUACUUCCUCUUAAGAUUUUAAGAUUUUACUUAUUUUAAUUUAAAAAAUUUAAUUAUGGGUAUGUGUGUGGGUCUGUGAUGGAGAAUGCAUACAGCAGGAGUGCGGGUGCCUGCGGAGGUGACAGAGAUCCCAGAGGUGGAGUUACAAAGGUCCUGAGAACCAGCCACAGCACUUCCCCCGCAAUGGUGUGUACUAUUAACCACUGAAUUCCAUCUCUAGCCCCGCAAGGGGACUUCUAAUGCCUGAAUAGACCACAACAAUAUCUGUCCCUUUCUGACUUAUCGGGCUCCUUCUGGAGUGUCUCCUCUGUGGCUUCCAAAGCUUUACUCAAGAGUGAUGAAGCCAGGAUUCCAUUUCAGGCAUUAUGAUGGCUGUUGGUGGGGCUGGUGUCACGGGUGUAAGGUCCCUUCAGGAAGGUUCUCGUGGGAAGGGAGUGAUGUUGACCAGCAGCACUUGAUCUCCAGCACGGACAGCGGUGGGCAGGCAUGUGUGUGGGCUACUGCGCAGACCUGGAGUGUUUCCUGUACACCUGGGAGAUGUCUCUCUGUGCACCAUGUUCAUGCAGUGCUCAGGGAAGCCAGAAGAGGGCAUCAGAUCACCUAGAACUGGAGUUACAGAUGCCUGCGAACUGCUUUGUGGAUGUUGGGAGUCCAACUCAGCUUCUCUGAAAGAGAAGCAGUGCUCUUAACUAAUGAGCCAUCUCUCCAGCCCCAGCCCCUCAAUCUCUUAAUAAACACAUGAAUGUAGGAAGUCA